rnacentral:rRNA from 1 species
UACGUAGGGUGCAAGCGUUGUCCGGAAUUAUUGGGCGUAAAGAGCUCGUAGGCGGUUUGUCGCGUCUGCUGUGAAAUUUCGGGGCUCAACCCCGAACUUGCAGUGGGUACGGGCAGACUAGAGUGUGGUAGGGGAGACUGGAAUUCCUGGUGUAGCGGUGAAAUGCGCAGAUAUCAGGAGGAACACCGAUGGCGAAGGCAGCUCGCUGGGACGGUACUGACGCUGAGGCGCGAAAGCGUGGGGAGCGAACAGG